rnacentral:snRNA from 1 species
GUGCUCGCUUUGGCAGCACAUAUACUAAAAUUGGAACCAUAUAGAGAAGUUUAGCAUGACCCCUGCGCAAGGAUGACAUGCAAAUUCGUGAAGUGUUCCAUAUAUAU